rnacentral:tRNA from 2 species
GCGUCCGUAGCUCAGCUGGAUAGAGGUACCUGGCUACGAACCAGGGCGGGUCAGAGGUUCGAAUCCUCUCGGACGCGCCA